rnacentral:misc_RNA from 1 species
UGGUCUAUGCACAUUGCUCUUUCUAGGAGGUUGGCUGCCUAUCCUAGAUCUUCCCAUUUUCAAAAAGAUCCCGGGCUCGAUCUGGUUUAGUAUCAAGGUGAUUUUCUUUCUCUUUCUAUAUAUAUGGGUCCGUGCAGCAUUUCCACGAUAUCGUUAUGAUCAAUUAAUGGGACUUGGCUGGAAAGUGUUUUUGCCUCUAUCAUUAGCUUGGGUAGUCUCCGUUUCUGGUGUUUUAGUCACCUUUCAAUGGCUCCCUUAAUUAUGUGCGAGGAAUUACCCUCUUGAGUAAUGGGAAGCGGGCUAGUCCCCGAAAAUGCCCAUAAACGUUGGGGCCAAUAAUCUUUCUGCUGGAACCUAUAUCAGCUAAGAAAAAGCGUUAGAAUACCGUAAUACAGAGUCAGAGCUGGUCUAGCAAUGGAAACUUAAGAAUAGAAAGCAGAAGAGAAAGCCCUUGAUCCGAGAAGGAAGUCAAAUUCAAAUCCAC